AUUGAACGCUGGCGGCAUGCCUUACACAUGCAAGUCGAACGGCAGCACGGGAGCAAUCCUGGUGGCGAGUGGCGAACGGGUGAGUAAUACAUCGGAACGUGCCCAGUAGUGGGGGAUAACCCGGCGAAAGCCGGACUAAUACCGCAUACGACCUACGGGUGAAAGCAGGGGAUCGCAAGACCUUGCGCUAUCGGAGCGGCCGAUGUCAGAUUAGCUUGUUGGCGGGGAAAAGCCCACCAAGGCGACGAUCUGUAGCUGGUCUGAGAGGACGACCAGCCACACUGGGACUGAGACACGGCCCAGACUCCUACGGGAGGCAGCAGUGGGGAAUUUUGGACAAUGGGCGCAAGCCUGAUCCAGCCAUGCCGCGUGC
rnacentral:rRNA from 1 species